GAAUAAUGGGAGCUAAUUAACAGUAAUUGAAUUCUUACUAUAUGCUAAGCCUUUUCUCGUAACAUACUUGUAUUAACUUAAUCUUCCCCAACUAUCCUGGGAUAAGUACUAUCAUUUUUUUCCUUUAUAGAUGAGGAAACCAUGGCAGAGAGGGGUUACGUAACUUCCAAGGGCGACAAAGCAAAAAGUGGCAAAAACUGCCACUGGGACUGGUGACGCUGAUAGCCAACAGGGCUGCUCUUUCUGCAAUGGCUUUGUGGUUCUUGGAGGAGACAUUGUGAGCAAUCUCAGCAUGUACUGGUUUCACAGAAAAAGAACAAUAAAAUAUUUGAUGGCGACUGGUGAUGAAGAUGGGAUGAUAAAAAUGAUGACGAUAACAGUGAUGGCAACAAUCAACGCAAAAGAGACAACAGAAUUCCAGACAGGAUGGAAGACUUCUCCAAGUUCAGGUUUUUAGCAUGAACUUCCAGACUAGCAAAAAGGACCUGACUACUCACAUCCAAAAAAAGUGGCCAUAAAAACCCUAUGAAUAG
rnacentral:lncRNA from 1 species